rnacentral:rRNA from 1 species
GUCUAUGGCCCUGCUACCCUGAACAAACCCAAUCCCAUCUGAUCUUGGAAGCUAAGCAGGAUUGGGCCUGGUUAGUACUUGGAUGGGAGACCACCUAAGAAGACCAGGUGCUGUAGGCA